rnacentral:lncRNA from 1 species
UUACUCAGCAGUAAGUCAGGUUCCUGAGGGCAUGCCAUUCUUGUCUGUAAUGUUGUCUUGCUUAAAGUUCUAUAAUUUUGUUGCAGGGGUUGCACUGGGAAAAGUCGGCUAUUACAACAGCUUCGUCAUUACCGUAAAGAAGCAUCUCAGCCUCUUGCUAAAGCUUCAAAGCAGGUCAAAAGAGAUGGAGUAAGGCAGAAGUUUAAGAGUCUAGAAGGAAAAAACACCCUGAAAAUCAAGAGAAGGCAAUGUCUAAAAGUGAGAUGGGAAGCAGACAAGGUGAUUUCCAGGGUGCCAGUGAGAUCUGAACCAGAGAAAGGAAAUCUUCUUUUUCCAGGCCAUGUGAACCAUGGGACUGACCAUUCAAGAGAAAUCCAGAAAGAGACAGAGGAAGCUUCACAUUCAGAAAAUGCUCCAGAGCUCCCUCUCAAUAAAGCAACAAGGGCAGAAGAAAGCCAGAGAGAGCUGUCCCAAAAAGAAAAGCAGAUGAAAGAGAAACAUAGGAGGCAGAAACUACAGGAGCAGUUGGAGAGAUUGCAGCCUCAGCACUCAGUUACUGGAAAGCAGCCCAUGGCAGAGAAAACACCUCUUUUGUUUCACAUGGAAGCUUCUUCUUUGCCACAUAUUAACACAUUGCCUAGUCAUGACAGCAUGAAACAUGAGAUGCUUCUGAUGACAGUUUGGCUAUCCAGUUGUGGACAGGUAGCUGCUGCUUUUGGUCAGCAUGAUGGACAUUUCCCAGAGACUGUAUUGACAGCAGCCAACAUCUAUCAAGCCCUUGUUACUUGGCUUCUCUCCUUGGCAAAGGAAGACCUUGGAGGAUCCAUUUUUUACCAACAGAUUUCCACUUUUCUAUCCCAUACAUGGCUUCCAGAUGUUAUCUGGUGGGAAGCAGAACUGACCAAUUGCCUCCAGAACCAGCUAUAUUCACUCUGUCCUGAAAUUCCUACUGUUCGACUCAGC